GCGCACGCUGGCGGCGUGCUUCACACAUGCAAGUCGAACGGAAAGGCCCCUUUGGGGGUACUCGAGUGGCGAACGGGUGAGUAACACGUGAGUAACCUGCCCUUGACUUCGGGAUAACUUCAGGAAACUGGGGCUAAUACCGGAUAGGAAUCCUUGCUGCAUGGUGGGGGUUGGAAAGCUUCGGCGGUUUUGGAUGGACUCGCGGCUUAUCAGCUUGUUGGUGGGGUAGUGGCUUACCAAGGCUUUGACGGGUAGCCGGCCUGAGAGGGCGACCGGCCACAUUGGGACUGAGAUACGGCCCAGACUCCUACGGGAGGCAGCAGUGGGGAAUAUUGCACAAUGGGCGGAAGCCUGAUGCAGCAACGCCGCGUGCGGGAUGACGGCCUUCGGGUUGUAAACCGCUUUCAGCAGGGGCGAAGCUUGUGGUGACGGUACCUGCAGAAGAAGCACCGGCUAACUACGUG
rnacentral:rRNA from 1 species